UGCCACAUGAGUGAGCACAUAGCAAACUUGAACUAUUCUUUUGCCUUUUAUUAAAGAAUACCAUGCGCUCGCCUCAAUUUAUGGCUUUCUCCAAUAGUUCGACAAGUUAUAAGCAUUUUU
rfam:Capsicum annuum cultivar Zunla-1 chromosome 12, whole genome shotgun sequence